rnacentral:ncRNA from 1 species
CCCAGAGACGAAGAAGGGCGUAGUAAUCGAAGAAAUGCUUUAGGGAGUUGAAAAUAAGCAUAGGUCCGGAGAUUCCCGAAUAGGGCAACCUUUCGAACUGCUGCUGAAUCCAUUGGCAGGCAAGAGACAACCUAGCGAACAACAUCUUAGUAGCCAAAGAAAAAGAAAACAAAAGUGAUACCUGUAGUAGCAGCGAGCGAAUUAGGAGCAACCUAAACCAUGAAAACGGGGUUAUGGGAGAGCAAUACAAGCGUCGUGCUUCUAGGCGAAGCAGCCUGAAUGUUGCACCCUAGAUGGCGGAAGUCCAGUAGCCGAAAGCAUAGCUUACGCUUUGACCCGAGUAGCAGGAACAUUUGAAUAAGUAUGAUUCUUUAUCGAAUUAUAAAAACCCACUUUCCGAAGUUACGCCUCAUAGG